rnacentral:misc_RNA from 1 species
ACCGCCCGUCACGUCACGAAAGUUGGUAACACCCGAAGCUCGUGGCCUAACCUUUUUGGGGGGAGCGGUCGAAGGUGGGACUGGCGAUUGGGACGAAGUCGUAACAAGGUAGCCGUACCGGAAGGUGCGGCUGGAUCACCUCCUUUCUAGGGAGCCUCUUGUGUGCUCAUGAUCAUGGUGGUUGUGGGUGUUUGUUGAGGGGUUUUUAGUGGUGUGCAAUGUGGGGAGCUGGCAUGCUGUUGGGGUGUGGGGUAACACCUGUGCUGCCUGCGCGUGGGCCUGUUUUGUGGGUUUGUGUGUGGUGUUGGUGUGGUGGUUGAGAAUUGUAUAGUGGAUGCGAGCAUCUUU